UUUUAUAAAUUUAGAUUGUUCAACAUUGAAACAAUUUAUAUUACUGAUGGUGAAGUUUCCACCUUUGCUUCCAGAAGGUAUGAUAAAGUGGCAUUACUGAUGGUGAUAUGGAAAAAAAAUCUAAUUGCUACGGCUACCUCUUGCCCCUUGUCGGUUGAAUUCACCUUAGUAGUAGAAGUGCUACAGAUGUUGGGUGUGUUGUAGUGGCUUGCCAUUUCUUAAUCUUUCAUUUACGUCCUUUCUUCAUGACAUCAAAACAGGCGAACCUGAGGGGCAUGGACCGACUGGUGUUUGUAGACUCCCUUGCUGUCAUAAUGGGGCACGAGGAGAGGGAGCCGUGUAUCUUGGAGACAGCGAUCAACAUCCUCGGUUCCAAACAGACGGCAAGCGAACUGUUCGUUAAAUAUCCACUGAAUCAGUGGCAACAGAAGUUGCGUGGGACUGACGUGAUGUGUCAGAUUACGAGAAACAGAAUGAUCCUUCAGAUUCUACUGAGCACCAUGCUGUUUGUCACGUGACCUGCGUACUGCCAGCCAGACAAGCAUUGAAGUACGUGCGGCAACAGUUGGCGGACCGACUUGAUGUCAGAAGAUUAAACCUGCUGGGACAAAGAAGGAACAUCGUAUCCGCAAGAAACUGAUAUCAGUCUGAACGAGGCAUUCGUUGUCUGCAGAGAAGAAGCUUGAUUGAUCCAUGGGACUUUACUGAGGUUGAAGGAUGCGUCACCUGACAUGACUACUGCUUGCCAGGAAAAGAGUGGAGUAUGUGCAGAAACACUUUGCUGGCUCACUGAUAUGACGACAGGAAAUCAAUCGGCUGUUAUCACGAAGGACCUCAUGUCUGCGAGAGAUUUAUCUCUGUGUCUACUUGACAUGCAUUGUGUAAGUAUACGAGAAAUAUGAUUAUCA